GAACUUUCCUUCCUGCAGGUGAAUCCGGGAACCUGGGCCCUUGUGCACUCUACUGGGGUUGCUUCUUGAGAUGUCCGUAUACAAGGAGAAAAGAAUAAAACAGGCUCUAUGCUUAAUGUGACUGUUAUUCCAAUACCAUCUAUGUAGAAAAUUUCAGUGGUCGAAUACACCAGGGAAGAUAGGUUAGGUUCUUGCCUAAUCAUAGAGGUAACUGGAAAGUUACAGAACUGGGAUGUGAGUCCAGAAUUUAUUUUAACUGCAGUUCAUUUAGCAGUUAAUCAUUUGUUGGAGGGCUCCCAAUUUUUUUUGUCUUGCUCCUCUGGUGGUAUUGGUCAUGCUAUCUCAUCCUUCCCUACUCUAUAAACUCCUAGAAAACUGAAUACAAAUAGGGAGUACGGCAGUAGCGCAGCAGGUUAAGUGCACAAGUAUCCUGGUUCCUCACCUACAAGGGAGUCGCCUCACAGGUGGUGAAGGAGGUCUGCAGGUGCCUGUCUUCCCCUCCUCUCUCUGUCCUACUUAACAAUGACAAUAACUACAACAAUAA